GGUGGGAUGGCAGAGUGGACGAAUGCGCUGGUCUUGAAAACCAGAGCCCCUGUAAAGGGGCCGCAGGUUCGAAUCCUGCUCCCACCG
rfam:Parcubacteria bacterium GW2011_GWC2_49_9 TY52_C0024, whole genome shotgun sequence.